rnacentral:rRNA from 1 species
CAAUAGCGUAUAUUAAAGUUGUUGCAGUUAAAAAGCUCGUAGUUGGAUUUCGGGGUGGCCCGGCCGGUCUGCCGCAAGGUAUGUUACUGGCCGAGCUGUUCUUCUUCGCAAAGACUGUGUGUGCUCUUAACUGAGUGUGCUCAGGAUCUGUGACGUUUACUUUGAAAAAAUUAGAGUGUUCAAAGCAAGCCAGCGCUUGAAUACAUAAGCAUGGAAUAAUGGAAUAGGACUUUGGUUCUAUUUUGUUGGUUUCUGGAACCUUAGUAAUGAUUAAGAGAGACAGUUGGGGGCAUUCGUAUUUCGUUGUCAGAGGUGAAAUUCUUGGAUUUACGAAAGACGAACUACUGCGAAAGCAUUUGCCAAGAAUGUUUUCAUUAA